rnacentral:rRNA from 1 species
GAUGAACGCUGGCGGCGUGCCUAAUACAUGCAAGUCGAGCGAACAGACGAGGAGCUUGCUCCUCUGACGUUAGCGGCGGACGGGUGAGUAACACGUGGAUAACCUACCUAUAAGACUGGGAUAACUUCGGGAAACCGGAGCUAAUACCGGAUAAUAUAUUGAACCGCAUGGUUCAAUAGUGAAAGACGGUUUUGCUGUCACUUAUAGAUGGAUCCGCGCCGCAUUAGCUAGUUGGUAAGGUAACGGCUUACCAAGGCAACGAUGCGUAGCCGACCUGAGAGGGUGAUCGGCCACACUGGAACUGAGACACGGUCCAGACUCCUACGGGAGGCAGCAGUAGGGAAUCUUCCGCAAUGGGCGAAAGCUUGACGGAGCAACGCCGCGUGAGUGAUGAAGGUCUUCGGAUCGUAAAACUCUGUUAUGAGGUAAGAACAAAUGUGUAAGUAACUAUGCACGUCUUGACGGUACCUAAUCAGAAAGCCACGGCGAACUACGU